CCGUGUUCUGGCAAAAAGAAAGAAAUCAUUCAAGGAUGGUGAAAUUGUGAAAGAAGCUUUCGUGGAAGCUGCAGAUGUGCUCUUUGCCGACUUUAACAAUCAGAAGGAGAUCGUGUCUGCAGGAUGUGCAGCUCUUAAGAAAGUCUGUUGCACGACGAUGCGAGUUAAUGGCGGAGGAUAUUGAUCGGCAACUGAGGAAUGAUAUUGAGAUGGUACACAGCAACGACUCGACAGACUGGAGUCAAAGGUGGACCGCAUACUACAACUACUGGUGAGGAAUCAGGCUGCUGAAGAAGCUGACUGCAUUGGAGAUAAUGCAGGCCAGACUUAAAACAACGGAGGAGCUGGACCAAUUCAGCAAAACGCUGGAGGACCAGGAGUUUAGGAGGACAGUGGUGAAUCUGCUGAAACAGCUAUCUGGAUCAAUGCUGAACUCCUUUGCCAGGACGAUGCUCGGUGAAAUUGGGAUGUGGCUGUUGUGGGCUGGCGUCAGCCUCAAAGGAUGGAAAGGGAAGAAAGCCCUGCAGCCUCUCACUCUCUAGAGUUUUGAAGAAAGCCUUCAGCAACAAGAUGGAAAUUUUACCAGAUGCUAUUGAUGAUGCGUUAACUGAAA